GAUGAACGCUGGCGGCGUGCCUAAUACAUGCAAGUCGAGCGAACGGACGAGAAGCUUGCUUCUCUGAUGUUAGCGGCGGACGGGUGAGUAACACGUGGAUAACCUACCUAUAAGACUGGGAUAACUUCGGGAAACCGGAGCUAAUACCGGAUAAUAUUUUGAACCGCAUGGUUCAAAAGUAAAAGACGGUCUUGCUGUCACUUAUAGAUGGAUCCGCGCUGCAUUAGCUAGUUGGUAAGGUAACGGCUUACCAAGGCAACGAUGCAUAGCCGACCUGAGAGGGUGGUCGGCCACACUGGAACUGAGACACGGUCCCGACUCCUACGGGAGGCAGCAGUAGGGAAUCUUCCGCAAUGGGCGAAAGCCUGACGGAGCAACGCCGCGUGAGUGAUGAAGGUCUUCGGAUCGUAAAACUCUGUUAUUAGGGAAGAACAUAUGUGUAAGUAACUGUGCACAUCUUGACGGUACCUAAUCAGAAAGCCACGGCUAACUACGUG
rnacentral:rRNA from 1 species